rnacentral:rRNA from 1 species
UUCCUACGGGGGGCAGCAGUGAGGAAUAUUGGUCAAUGGACGAGAGUCUGAACCAGCCAAGUAGCGUGAAGGAUGACUGCCCUAUGGGUUGUAAACUUCUUUUAUAUGGGAAUAAAAUGUUCCACGUGUGGGAUUUUGUACGUACCAUAUGAAUAAGGAUCGGCUAACUCCGUGCCAGCAGCCGCGGUAAUACGGAGGAUCCGAGCGUUAUCCGGAUUUAUUGGGUUUAAAGGGUGCGUAGGCGGGCAUUUAAGCCGGCGGUCAAAUGUCGGGGCUCAACCCCGGCCUGCUGUCGGAACUGGGUG